rnacentral:rRNA from 1 species
AUGGCGUCGGUAGUAACAGUAAUAGUAUUACUCCUAGUGGUGUCUGCCGGAGCCGGAGCCGGAGCAGCAGCCAGUCCGCCGAUUGGGAUGCCCGGCUGUGUCACGACGUGCGGCGGCGUGGAGGUGCCAUACCCGUUCGGCAUUGGCCCGGACCCCAGCUGCUUCCUGCACCAGCCGGGGUUUAACCUCACCUGCGACCAGAGCCACCACCCCCCACGGCUGCUCCUCCUCCUCCCCGGCGCCGAUGGCAAAGACCAGCGUCUCCAGAUCAAGCACAUAGACUCAUUUUCCCUAAUGGAGUUGGUCCGCGACGUCGACUUAAGCACGAGCUGGUCCGACGAUAUAAGCCUGAGGGGGCCCUUCAUGCCGUCCAAUGGCAACGAGCUCAUCCUCACCGGCUGCAACGUGCGGUCGGCGCUGCUGCGGAGGAGCAGGAACAAGGGCAACUCCACUACUGCCACCGUGAAGCCCAUGACAAUAAGCGGCUGCUACUCCUUCUGCAGCGCCCCUGAGCGAGGCGACGGCCCCCAGUUCGACCGCGGAUGCUCCGGUGCCGAUGGCUGCUGCCGUGCUCCCAUCCUCAUCGACGAAAUAUUACUAGCUCCGGUAGGGCUGUACAGCCUGGAGUUCAGCUGGUUCGGCAGGAAUGUGAGCGCGGACCAGGCGCGAGCACCCGCGCGCGCAUUCAUCGCGGAGGAAGGCUGGUUCGACUACUGGCUCUCCAAUUACUCCAACUCCAAGUCCCAACACAGUAGCGCAACACUACUGGAUGUUCCCGUUUAUCUAAGGUAUGACAUCAGUGGCAGCUGCGCGAACAACCCAUGCAAAAGCAACCACAGCACCUGCGUCGACACCCUCACCACAGGAUCAUAUGCAUGCCACUGCCGAUCUGAUGAGGGUUACACAGGCAACGCCUACGUCCCCGGCGGCUGCCAAGUUGUUGUUGACGGGUGCGAGCUGCCACAGGACAUCACCAAGUGCUACGGUGAGUGUAGCUACGUAGGCGGAUCAAUAGUGUGCCGGUGCCCGCCAGGAACUCAGGGAAAUCAUGCUGUACCCGGUGGAUGCGUCGAUUCUACUCUCGCUAGCAGUGGUAAGCAAACUCGACCAGCCACAUGGAACAUAUCUUAUUUAUCCAUAAGAUAG